ensembl:lncRNA
CACAAGUUGAACCUGUGGUUUAUUUUUCAGCAAUGUCCACGAGGCGGCGCUUGGCGGACAGGGAGCAGAGGCGCGUCACUGAAGCGUACGAGUCAAACUCAUGAGUCAUGGCCGAAAGUGCGCGAGUUAAGCUUAGUGACGAUGUCUGCUUUGCUGGCUGAAGAUGUCUGCUCCCGGCUUAGGGAAGCCACACAGGUACAUAAUGAAGCAGUUAAAUCAAUGGCGAUUGUUCGAUGGCGUUAGUGUGGCCAGAAGCGAAUACAUAUUUUUAAACGAGACGAGGCACAAUCUCUAAACCAAAGAGAUUCGCUGCUGAAGUGUCCAACUGAUGUGGAGAACAAGCCUCCAAGGACGUUCAUUCGCAGAGACGGACGAACCCCCGCUCGCUGGUUCUAGCAGUGAAGAGGGCGAACCGGAUGAGUCCGAGCCGUGCACUUCCACCGAUGAUGACAGCUCCCUGGGUGGACAAGAGCAGGUGGUCGCACCAGGCUUAGCCACACCUCCAAACAAUGCUGGCAGAGACCCUACUAUCUGAGACCCGGACUCAGAUUCGUCGCGAUAUGAAUGGAUCUUUACGGGAUAUGUUAGUGCAGGCUGGGCCAUAUCAGGAUAAGGUAGGGGAGUUGAGGGCCAACGAAAAUGUUCGGUGGCCAACUACAAUAUGAGGAUGGCGAACGGAGAGAGAGUGGAGAUACCAUGGCUCGUUAAUUCCAAGCAAAAUGAUGCGGCCUUCUAUUUUUGCUGUUUUUCACGAGGGCAAAUCUGCGCUGGUCUUGGAUGGAACCAGGGACUGGGAAUAAUCUGUGCCACCUCCUCAGCUCGCAUGAGAAGUCGCAUGACCGCCUAGAUAGUAUCCAGAGGUGGAAGGAGCUGGAGAUCAGGCUGGUGUCCAAGGAAGCUAUCGAUGCCCAAGCCCAACGGGCUAUUGACAGAGAGACUCUCCAUUGGCAGUAUGUGCUGCAGAGGCUCAUAGCCCUGAUAUGUGUAAUGGCCACCCAAAACAUUGCGCUACGUAGGACCAGGCUGAACGAGCCAAAUAAUGUGAACUUUCUGAAGUUCUGGAUUUCUUUGAUUUGAUUUCAGGACCAUGGACAGCUACCGAGAGAAAACAUCGCUGACUGCAAUGCAGCAUCACAGCAAAGGGAAGAGACCACUCUAGGCGGGCCACGAAUUGAAGAAAUGCUGAAAUGUGAAGUCUGAGCCAUGAACUAGAACAGCUUAACUGCGUAUAUGGUGAAGAGCCUGCAGACUCCAUAUGGUGAAGAGACUCCAUAUGGUGAAGAGCCUGGUUCAGAACCCUGUACCUCGGCUCGUAAGUACGCAUCCUGGUGUCCAGCGUCGUGUACUGCAUCCUGGAGCCGCUGGUCGCCUCCAACUCCCUCAACGACCACUGGACCCUUAUGGAGUACGCAGCUCUGUGGGUCACCCACAUGUUCUGGACCCAUGGAGACCUGGUCAGUGGUCUGUUGUCUCUGCAGAAGGUUCUGUCAGACCCGGUCCGCCCGCUGUGUUCUCACUAUGGAGUUGUAGGGGGCUACAUGCACUUAGAGGAAAUGUAUCCACCUCCCAUCCAUCUUGUAUCCAUCUUAUCUAUGUAUGAAAAUAUAAUUUCUUUCAUUUAGAGAUCCUUGGCUUUGUUGAUCACUGUGUGUGUUGUCUGUCUUUGUAGGCUAUUGAGUGAGUCAUAUACCCUUACCUGCAAGCUGUCCUGGAUGACUACUCUGUCUCCAAUGCCCAGGUGAAAGCAGACAGACACAAGUCUAUGGAGCAAUCCUGUACCAAUGCCCUCUCUGUCCUGCCGGUGGCAGUGGAGCACCUGCUAAAGAUUAGAGCCCUGUCUCUGUCCCUGCCAGCAGAGGGGUCGACAGCACCCAGCCACGCUUCGGGAGUGUGAUUUCCGCCGGGCUCAGCCUCUCUCCGAGGCCACGCUGGGCAUCGUCAGUCCCCUGCAGGGACCUGGGGGAGCUGGAACCCCCUGGAAUGACUGGACCACAUCCCCCUGCCCGCCAUGUACUGUGAGCAGGUGGUUAAGAGUGUUGGGCUAGUAACCAAAAGGUUGUUGGUUCGAAUCACCGAGCCGACGAGGUGAAAUUUUCUGUCUGUGCCUUUGAGCAAGACACUCAAGUCUAAUUCCACCUGUAAAGCACAGCUGUCGCUAUUUGAUAUUUGAUAUUAUUUAUAAAUAUUGGAUUUAGUUGCAUAUAUUAUUAAGUUGCAUACAAUAACUGUACCAUUUACAAUGCACUUCUCUGUGCAAACAGGUAAUAACUUUCUAUCAUCUUACACAUUGUCCUUGGGAUUGGUGGACAGUCAAACUGAAAGGAAGCAACUUCUAUUGCUUAGGGAUGGAUCGACAUUUACAUAAUGGGUACCUGAUGGAAAAUGUGGGAGGUUCAUGCUUUUAAUAUUUCAGCCAAGGGGUUUCAAUUUUUUUUUAAAUCUAGUCCAGGGGAGGGUCAUGUCAUUUAUGAAAUGUCAAUAUUUUUCAGUUGCUUAUUAGGCUAUAUAUACACAUCUGCAUUGUUUGCUGUUUGGGGUUUUGGUCUGGGUUUCUGAACAGCACUUUGUGACAUCUGCUGAUGUAAAAAAGGCUUUAUAA